rnacentral:lncRNA from 1 species
CUAUAUUAAAGAACAAAAUAUCGAUAACUAUGUGUGACGUUUCUAAGGGGGGGGGGGGGGGNNNNNNNNNNNNNNNNNNNNCGGAGAAACGAACAUAUGACGUUUCCUUCUACUUCCCUACGUUCAUCCGAAGGAAAAUCAUUUUCCUUCUCCUUUCCACUAAGCACAUAUACACAAACAUUGAUGGCAGGCGACGUGCAUGCACUUGUUCGGCAAAAUAAUUUUUAUUAAUUAUUUUUUACAUUUGAUUUAAUUUUGUUUAUGAUAUGGACAUAUAUUUAUCUCUAUUCACUUAUUUCCUAUAAUAGGUAAUGUCUUUGUUAAAGUCAAUCUACUUUCCAAAGAGUCUUGCACAUUACAUGUCUUUCGAGUUAUCAGAUUUCCAUCUGCCUUGAAGUUUAAUUAAGCAAACGAUUCAAAUUAGGAUUGUUCCCUUGAGAAGUUGCCAUGAACAACGCUCCGCCAGAUCGUGAAUUAUGCGUACUGUACUGCUUGGGAUCAAGACCAAUACUAGAUAUAGUCUCCUUCAUGAUUUCACGUAACCUUGUGUAACUAAUACGUUUAGAAGCAAGGGCAGCUGCUGUUUAACCACGACGGGAAGCUUGGAGGUAUCUGAAGAUAUACUCGUCUGAAUUUGGGUGAAUGCUAUAGCUAAAGAAAAUAACGAAGAAGCAAAGCAUGUGGACACAUUUGUCCGUUAGUUUGUGCGAUAAAAACCUGAUUACCAUUGCAAUAGUGGUCGAUCUUACUCGUAGGAACGAAUAGUAUGAGAUUAUCGGGAUUGACAGUCAUGUUCUUCGCCUUGAUGCUGGUUAGCGCGCUGGCACGAAAAAACCCAGAAAAGCCCAGAACGCUCAAAAAUGCCGUACGCAGAUAUUUAAGCUCGAGUCAGGCGUUGGCGUACUUAGCCGCUAUCUUAGCUAAUGUGUCGAUAAAAAUGGGCUACUUAAUUUUUUACGAUGUAGUGUGAUGGGAUCGUUUACCAGCCUCUAUAAUAUUUCGGAUUAAAGGUGUAUCUGUUGGGUUUGAAGCUAGGGGAACAAGAUCAUGAACCCACUAUAUGGCGCAUUGGGAUUAUAGUGUAACCCUAUCCGACUUUUGUGUUUCCAUGAGGUUGGAAAGAUAUUGCACAAUAACCAGGGUAGUGUAGGGAAAUUUUCCAGGGAGUUUGGAUUCCAUCAUGAAGUUGGUAAAUGUUCAGUACUGGGUGAGAUAACUCUGAACCGUAGAACCAGCUCGAGAAUGCAGGACUUGACAAAAUAUUUGUUGUCUUAUAUCCAUAACGGCCACUACCCAACAAGGAGCAGAAACAAGAUCCUGAAAAACACAAAUCUACAGUUAUAUAAAAAUCUCCAAACAUGUUGUAAAACGCGAUGGGCUCUACAGCCACCCGGCAAGUGCAGUCCCCUACUACACAACGAAACAGACAUCUGCCUACUCUUUAGCCAGAGAGUAAUUAGUUACACUGGCCUGUAGGCCAAGUGUCUUAAAUCCCUCUUUUUCUGUUUUUUCCGUACUCGAGAAAUGGAGUUUGCGUUAGCUCAUCGCAGGCUCACCUCGGUGUAUAGUAAUAAGCUCGUAUUUAUGUACUCAAUAGUCGACUCAUGCUUGUGGUACAUUUUUCGUUUAUUAGCCCAUACACUUGUACGCACGCGCACAAUUCCAAACUCCAAUGACGACUUUUCACAGAGUGAUCAAACUAUAUUUUACACAGUUUCGUUGAAUUUGCAAAGAAUUGGGCCGCUUUCCUGUGGACAUCCGUCGUGUACUUGUGUUAAUUUUUGCGUCGCACUCUGGACUUUCUUGCCUGUUGAAUUAAUGUUUUUCUUUUUGUAUUAAAUUAAACGACUCGAAAAUCCCAAAAAUUUCAUAAAUUUAUACCCAGGGAAUUUAUACGAUAUAUUGGAAUAUAAACAAGGACAAAUUCUCCUAAUUCCUUACGAUAAUGUUAGUCAAAUGUCGACAAUAUACCUUUAAAUACAUGUAUACUAUUAAAAUCCGCACAGUACUAAGAAUUAAGAGAAUUCGCGUAGCGCUGGCCGCUGGGUGCGUACUGCGCGAAAAGCUUUGUGGUAGCUAUACUAAAGAUAAAGCGUGCCUUCAAAAUACCAACAAGAACUAGAACCGUUAUUGUAUGGUUCUCAUUUGCCACAAGUCGACCUCGAAGAAACGCAUUUCGUUCGAGGUCGACUUGUGGCAAGUCUACUCAUUUGCCUAAUACAAUAACAUUUACUUCGACGCGAAUUUUAAUACAAGUAUGGUUCAUAUUUCAUAAUAUAACAAACAAUGUAAACUUGCCAUACAUUUUGCCGAACAUAAAUUCGGCCCCUUUGGACAUAUCUUUUUCGUGAUAAUAUUAUUGGGACCAGAAUUGAAAACACUAUUUAUAGUGUUAUUUUCAAGCUUGUGUCUUGGGAUUUUCAUCUUUUAUUUCGGUAUUUACAGAAUAUUUAUAUUUUUAGCGCGGCGAUCAAAACAACGCGCUGUUUAGGAAAAACCGGAAAUCGAUUCUGUAGGUCGGCAUGAUUUGCACGUGCAUCAAUCGAGCUAUAAACGUGCGUGCGAGUAAAAACCCGAUAUUUUGAAAAAUUCAAAAUAAAUAUUCCUACUCUGUGCCGUAUUCAAACGAAACUUUGUACAUGAAAGCGCUUGAAUACAAAAUGUAUUUUAUUCACAUUGACUCUGAGCAAAUUCUGAAGAGUUAAUCAAUAGACCUUAAUGUUUGACCCAAUGGCUUCAUUUUCAUGUUGGCUAUUUACUCGUAUUCCGUGCACACAAUUUAAGAAUGAGUUUGUGAACGGGCUUAAAUGAUAAACGAGAAGGAAACAUUGGGGAUAAUAUAACCGAGAAUUGUCUAGAAGUAUAAAUUUUUGCAUUCAGUUCAUACGCCAUAAAGGCAGCACUUUCCUUGCAAUAGUAACUCCUAGUACUAGAUUUGCACCAUUAAGACCGAAAAGUCCAUAAAAUUUGCUUGCGGUUUAAGAUUUGUAUUCCUGCCUUUUGCACCAUAGCACGUAUCUCGUUAUUUUCAGGCCAGUGUGAACGCCUGAGCAUGCAGGCGUCUUGUUAAAUAUAAAAGGCGUUCUCCUUCUCCCAAGCCAUCCAGCUAGGACUAUAUAUAAUAGGCAUUCUCCUUUUCCUAAGGAGCAUUCUCCUAUUCUCAAUAUAUAACAUGGCAUUCUCCUUUUCCCAAGCCAUCCGGCUAGGACUAUAUAUAAUAGGCAUUCUCCUUUUCCUAAGGAGCAUUCUCCUAUUCUCAAUAUAUAACAUAGCAUUCUCCUUUUCCUAAGCCAUCCGGCUAGGACUAUAUAUAAUAGGCAUUCUCCUUUUCCUAAGGAGCAUUCUCCUAUUCUCAAUAUAUAACAUGGCAUUCUCCUUUUCCUAAGCCAUCCGGCUAGGACUUCACGCCACAACCGCCAAAUGUAACAGUUUGACACAAGUAUAUUUAUGUAUUAACUAAGUACACACUAACAACAACAGACACUCCUACAGUAUCAUGCAUUAACAGGAAUUCAUGCGCCAAAAUAAAAAUUAAUUUGAAAUAACCGACACACUUAAGAACAGUGACUACGAGAAAUGAAACGAAAAUCUAUGAGAUACACUGUCCAUGCACGAGCUGGAACCAACAAGGGACUUAUGAUUAUGGCUAUGCAUUAGAACUUAGUUACCAACUAAUUCAAUGUAAUCCUUUAUGUAAACUGAAAAACGGGAAAUAAGAAAAGGGCAGAAGGCCAUUAAGGCACGACAAAAGUGGCUUUACAACUGUGAAAUAAACGCUAACACCCGAUAAAACACGAGGGACCGGGAUUACUAAAAUGGCAUUUGCCCCCUCCCAUGAGAGAAAGAAUGCAUCUACCCCCGCAGAACCUGGGUUCCAAAAUCUUGAAUUGAAUUUUUGCACUCUGCAAUUGUAACAGUCAGCAAAACAACUUACGGUGGGCCAAACCUUGCCUCUAACAACGUAAACAAGCUCUAAAGAUCCUUGUCAAAUUUAACAAUACGUUCACUAAUAAUACUAAUGGUGCCAGUUUGCCCAUUCCAGUUUAAUCCGAACGAGGUAAGGUAUUUUGUGUGGGCUGCCAUACGCAUUUCUCCCUGAAUUGCUUGUACAAGUUUGUAUGUCUCUGUCGAUGUCAAACCCAUCGUCUAAAUAAAUAUAUCCAUUAUUUAUUUCCUGAGUCUACUGAGAGCGCUAAUGUGUAACUAUAGGCCGUAACAGUUUUUGUGGCUAGCCCGUUUGCGGGCUAGCCACUAUCACAUACACAUACACAAACGCGAUGAGCGAUGAUGAUCAUGGUGUCCAGUCCGGAUUUUCGUAAAGUAUCGGGAGCAAUCGGAAGCGCUCGUAUUUUUCUGCCGACAUUUCACAUUUGCAUUUCGAGGCAAUACUAGUGAUGUUGUUACGACGCAGUACUAAUGAGGUUGUUAAACCAGAAAAUUAAAAUAAAGUUUAUCUUCAUGGCUUCAACCUAUGGUGUCGAAACCGAUCAGAAAUUGCGCGUACUCGCCGUGUAAAUAUGGGUUUUGAUUUGCACUUUUGACUGUUUUGCCAUCUUGAAUUGUCUUCUUGUUGAGAUUUCAUAUCUCAAUUGCAUUCGAAAUGUUUGGUAUUUUAAAGAAGGGAUAUUGUGUGGAGGAGGUUUAUAAUGCAGCGAAUAAAACCAGCAUUGGAUAAUUAUGGUAAAAAAGACCAGAAACUGUGCAUCGAACUCGUUUAUUUAAAGGCUUUAAGUAUACCUUUUCUUCAGACAUUGACGGCGUCUCAAAUGUCUAUAUAUUUGUAAUAAACCUAUAAAGGAUUAUUGCGUCUGUCUGCCUUAGGAGUUAUAUAGUCGAAUAAUUCAGCAUGAUUUGUCUCACGUUCUCUUAUAAGUUGACUAAUAUUGCAUUAAAAGUGGUAAAAGUUGGCGUGCUAACCAAGAUUCCAGUGUAUUUGUUUGCUGAUAUUGCUAGGCCUAUAUCUCAAACGCUAUUUGCCUAUUAAAAUAUCAUAUGACACGCAAUUUUAAUUCCACGGCAAAACUGCUGUUGCGCAAAUAACAAACGCGAGAUUAAAUAUAUAUGGCAGUAUUACAGUUUAGUAAUAUUGCAUUAAAAGUGGUAAAAGUUGGUGUGCUAACCAAGAUUUCAGUGUAUUUGUUUGCUAAUGUUGCUAUAUCUCAAACGCUAUUUGACUAUUAAAAAUAUCAUAUGACACGCAAUUUUAAUUCCACGGCAAAACUGCUGCUGCGCAAAUAACAAACGCGAGAUUAAAUAUAUGGCAGUAUUACAGUUUAGGUAUCUUUUAAAUUGCUAAUAGAUCACACGGAAACUUUUUACAAUCGUUAUAUUCAAAAGCCUAGCGUGCAAAUUCACAUAUUUGUGUUUAUUCAAGUGUUAUUCAUGAAUUCGCUAUUUACAUGGGAAGCGACGAGAUAUGACACGGUAUUUUUCAAGUAUACCGUGAAACUCCACUGACAAAAUGAGCCCGCACAAGUGGGAGAAAAUUUGCGCAUUCUGACCAUCGUGGUGUGUCUUCUUAUUACUAUUAAAGUUAACCAGCAUGGCAGGCUUUCUGGGUUUGGAGGAGGGUUUGGGGAGUUAAAGUUUACCAGGCUAGCCACAUGUACGCAUUGCGUACCUAUUUUUUUGAAUAUAUAGGGAGCUGUUGUCAGCCAAAAUGGCAGGACAGCAUGAGAAUCCGCACGAUGUGUGAAAAGAUUAGCGUUUCUGGUGUUGGUAACCAUAGUUUUGUGUCAAAGUUGAUGAACUGAUGACAUAUAUUAAUUAUCCAACCCAGUGAGCUCCAUAUAUAUCUGGAGUAAGAACUCAGUCAUUCGGUCAAUGAGAAAAGUGAAGCCAAGUGAAACCAAGAUGGCGGCCAUUGACGUCCAAUAGCUCUGAAGGUCGUAAACAGUUUUUAUACCAUUUUCCCCAGCUAAUUCCAGUUUUUUCUAAUGGACCAUAUCACUAAUCAAGUUUUC